AAGACUAUACUUUCAGGGAUCAUUUCUAUAGUUUGUUACUAGAGAAGUUUCUCUGAAUGUGUAGAGUACCUCAAACCACGAGGAGGAGACGUAGUACCCCUUUCUGAGCGUGAAACUGGCUUUGGGUGUUGUUUUCUUUGCAAUUGCCUUUGGUCAUUGAUGAUCGUUCCACCUUUCUUUUUAGGAAGGUGAGAGGGAAGGGGUGCCAUCUGAGUGGU